ensembl:lncRNA
UUCUUACUGAAGAUCCUUGUGUACCUGAGGCCUUUUGAAGGGAAUGGAACAUUUGCAAGUAACUAUGUUUGCAACUAGAAGAAUAAUUAGGAAGAACAAUAGCAUGUAUCUUGGAACUACCGAUCAGCUUUCCUCUGUGAACUCUUAAAAACUUGCUUUUAAGGAAUUUAAGAAUGUUAUCUGCAUCUUCAAGAGCCACUAGCCAUCAGAAUAUCAAAACAAGGAACCUAGGAGAAAUGAUAUAUGAAAAGAAGAAAGGGCAUCCCUAGGUGAUUCCAAGGACAGAGGCAUGAAAUGAGCACACAUGCAUGAACUGGAGAGAAAGAACCUUAGUGCAAUAAACUGCUUUGUUGAAGGGCAGUUCAGCAUCUUUCCUGGGAGAAAGCUUCCGUGGGCAGUGGCCCUUUGUGGUGCCCAGCAGUACUUGCCUGACCUCCCUCCAGCCUCUGCAGAAACAGGCUGGACUGUUAAUGCUUGGGGUCUGACCUUUCACAUCUUUAGCUCUGCACUGACAAACAGAAUAACAGCUGAGCAGGUCUUGCAGGUGGGACAUUUACUACAGGGUUUCUCACUUUUUGUCUUGGGUGCCCAAUAGAGGAAGGAUUGUCUCACUUUUUGAUCCUGAGGUGGUCCUUACAAUCUCUGGAUUAAAGAUGCAGACUAUUUGUUGAAGAUUCCUAUCUGGAUGACUCGUUCCCUUCCUGCUGCUUCUGUUUCUCUCCUUUGACACUUUAAGGAAGAAUCCAAAAGGGCAAUCUUUUCCAGCAGUAACUUAUUCCAUGUUAGUGUAGUAUCUCACAUGGUGAGAUCCUGAGGGGAAUGCAGCUAAUAAAAGUAACAAAAUCCUUUCAGAAAUGUUGGGUAGCAUGGAAACAAAUUUGCUAUCAAGAUGCUUCAUGUUAAACUUUGGAAUCUGUUCACCUAUGGGUAUGAAUGAGAUAUUUUUAU